AGGGCGCAUGGCGGAUGCCUUGGCUCUCGGAGGCGAUGAAGGACGUGAUAAGCUGCGAUAAGCUUUGGGGAGGUGCAAAUGACCUUUGAUCCAGAGAUUUCCGAAUGGGACAACCCAAUAUCUUGAAGAGGUAUUAUCCAACGUUGUUGGAGGCUAACGCAGGGAACUGAAACAUCUUAGUACCUGCAGGAAAAGAAAAUAAACAAUGAUUCCCCCAGUAGUGGCGAGCGAACGGGGAACAGCCCAAACCAUCCAUGUUACGGCAUGGGUGGGGUUGUAGGACUACGCCGUUGCAUGAAGACAUCAGAGAAGAACUUUCUGGAAAGAAAGACCAUAGAGCAUGACAGUUGCGUAUUCGAAUGUUGUCGAAGCAUAGUAGUAUCCUGAGUAGCGCGGAGCACGAGGAAUUCUGCGUGAAUCUGCCGGGACCAUCCGGUAAGGCUAAAUACUCCCGAGAGACCGAUAGCGAACCAGUACCGUGAGGGAAAGGUGAAAAGCACUUCGAACAGAAGAGUGAAAUAGUUCCUGAAACCGUGCGCCUACAAGCGGUCGGAGCUCGUUAAUGAGUGACGGCGUGCCUUUUGCAUAAUGAACCUACGAGUUGCCUUUGCCGGCAAGGUUAAGUGUGACGACACACGUAUCCGAAGCGAAAGCGAGUCUGAACAGGGCGUAUAGUCGGCAGUGGCAGACGCGAAACCAAGUGAUCUACCCUUGGCCAGGUUGAAGGCUGGGUAACACCAGCUGGAGGACCGCACCAAUAAGCGUUGAAAAGCUUCUGGAUGAGCUGAGGGUAGGGGUGAAAGGCUAAUCAAACUUGGAGAUAGCUCGUACUCCCCGAAAUGCAUUUAGGUGCAGCCUUGCGGGUUACUGAUGUGAGGUAGAGCGACUGAUAAGAUGCGAGGGCUUCACCGCCUAUCAAGUCUUGACAAACUCCGAAUGCGCAUCAGUUCUACCGCAGGAGUGAGGGCAUGGGUGCUAAGGUCCGUGCCCGAGAGGAGAAGAAUCCGGACCACCUGCUAAGGUCCCGAAAUGACAGCUAAGUUAAACUAACGAAGUCUGACUGCUAAGACAGCUAGGAUGUUGGCUUGGAAGCAGCCAUUCAUUUAAAGAGUGCGUAACAGCUCACUAGUCGAGGAGUCGGGCGUGGAUAAUAAUCGGGUAUCAAGUUGUCUACCGAAGCAGUGGGAUCAUUUAUAUGAUCGGUAGGGGAGCAUUCCAGUCAGCGUCGAAGGCGUACCGUGAGGUAUUCUGGAGCGUCUGGAAAAGCAAAUGUAGGUAUAAGUAACGAUAAAGGGGGCGGGAAACCCCCUCGCCGAAAGACUAAGGUUUCCUGAUCAACGCUAAUCGGAUCAGGGUCAGUCGGGUCCUAAGGCUCAGCCGAACGGCGAUGCCGAUGGCAGAAACGGUUAAUAUUCCGUUACUACCUUCAGGAGUGACGUGGAGACGCAGUAGUGACAGUGCCGCCAUCUGACGGAAUAGAUGGUUGAAGGGUGUAGGAGUCGAUCAUGGCAGGCAAAUCCACCAUGAGAUCCGAACCUGAGAGUAUGCCGCGUCCUUCGGGACAAGGCAAUAGUGCGCGUAAGCAUGCUGCCGAGAAAAUCCGCUAAACUUAAUCCUGGAGGUACCCGUACCGCAAACGGACACACGUAGUCGGGAUGAAUAUUCUAAGGCGCUUGAGUGAUUCACGGUUAAGGAACUAGGCAAACUGACCCUGUAACUUCGGGAUAAAGGGUCCCUACCCUUUUAUGGGAGGGCGCAGAGAAUCGGUCCAGGCAACUGUUUAACAAAAACACAGGGCUGUGCCAAAUCGAAAGAUCCAGUAUACAGCCUGACACCUGCCCGGUGCUGGAAGGUUAAGAGGAGAUGUCAUCGAUAAGAGAAGCGUUGAAUUGAAGCCCCAGUAAACGGCGGCCGUAACUAUAACGGUCCUAAGGUAGCGAAAUUCCUUGUCGGGUAAGUUCCGACCUGCACGAAUGGUGUAAUGAUCUGGACGCUGUCUCAACCGUGAGCUCAGUGAAAUUGUAGUAUCGGUGAAGAUGCCGAUUACCCGCGAUGGGACGAAAAGACCCCGUGAACCUUUACUAUAGCUUAUCAUUGAAUCUGGGCACGUGAUGUGUAGGAUAGGUCGGAGGCUUUGAAGCAGGUACGCCAGUAUUUGUGGAGCCGCUGUUGAAAUACGACCCUUUAUUUGUUUGGAUUCUAACCCGUGGAACGGGGACAUUGAUUGGUGGGUAGUUUGACUGGGGUGGUCGCCUCCAAAAGCGUAACGGAGGCUUCUAAAGGUGCCCUCCGGCCGAUUGGUAACCGGCCUUAGAGUGUAAUGGCAUAAGGGCGCUUGACUGGGAGACUGACAAGUCGAUCAGGUAGGAAACUAGAGCAUAGUGAUCCGGUGUUUCCGUAUGGAAGGGACAUCGCUCAAAGGAUAAAAGGUACUCCGGGGAUAACAGGCUGAUCCCUCCCAAGAGCUCAUAUCGACGGAGUGGUUUGGCACCUCGAUGUCGGCUCGUCACAUCCUGGGGCUGGAGAAGGUCCCAAGGGUUGGGCUGUUCGCCCAUUAAAGUGGCACGCGAGCUGGGUUCAGAACGUCGUGAGACAGUUCGGUCUCUAUCUAUCGUGGGCGCAUGAAAUUUGCGUGGCUCUGACACUAGUACGAGAGGACCGUGUUGGACAGACCUCUGGUUU
rnacentral:rRNA from 1 species